GCCUUCGUGGUGUAACGGUAGCAUACUCGGCGCGUAUUCGAGAGGUUCAGGUUAGAGUCCCGACGAGGGCA
rfam:Stegodyphus mimosarum contig55091, whole genome shotgun sequence.